AACGCGAAGAACCUUACCCGGGCUCGAAGUGCUACUGACCAGCGGUAGAAAUAUCGCCUUCUCGCAAGAGACAGUAGUAGAGGUGCUGCAUGGCUGUCGUCAGCUCGUGCCGUGAGGUGUUGGGUUAAGUCCCGCAACGAGCGCAACCCUUACUCUUAGUUGCCACCCGCAAGGGGGAACUCUAAGAGGACUGCUCCGGAUAACGGAGAGGAAGGUGGGGAUGACGUCAAGUCAGCAUGGCCUUUAUGUCCGGGGCUACACACGUGUUACAAUGCAUGGUACAAACUGUUGCGAUCCCGCGAGGGGGAGCUAAUCGGAGAAAAACCAUGCUCAGUUCGGAUUGGAGUCUGCAACCCGACUCCAUGAAGCUGGAAUCGCUAGUAAUCGCGGAUCAGAACGCCGCGGUGAAUACGUUCCCGGGCCUUGUACACACCGCGCAUA
rnacentral:rRNA from 1 species